CUUACAUAUUUACAUUUAUACAUACAUUUACAAUCAUUUCUCAUCUUCAAUCACCUUAAAUCAUUCUCAUAGUUUUCCAAGAAAGUGUUUCUGUACAUCCUUUUAAAGUGAAUUAUAUUUGUGCUUUGUUUGAACUCCUGCUCCAAACCGUUCCAUCAAAUCACCCCACAGAUUGUUCUACUCAUACUUCUCACAGUUGUUCUGACCUUGAGUUGUUUCAAAUGUAGAUUUCCUCUCAAAUUAUACCCGCCCUCUCUGUCUAUGAACAAUGUUUGUAAUUUCCUAGGAAGUAGAUUAUGUCUUGCUCUGUACAUGAUUUGUGCCGUUUUAAAUGUAACCAGAUCAGUAAACUUCAGUGUGUGUGACUUCAAGAAUAAUGAAUGAGUGUGUUCAAGAUAUCCAACAUUAUUGAUUAUUCUUAUAGCCCUUUUUUGUAAUGUGCAUAACGGCUGUAGGUUGGUUUUGUAAGUGUUUCCCCAAAUCUCCACACAGUAACUCAGACAUGGCAAUAUGAGUGUAUUAUACAGAGCAUAAUGAGUUGUAGUCCAGAAUGUGUCUUGCUUUCCCCAAUAUUGAGAUAGUCUUAGCCAGUUUAGCUUUUACAUGAUUGAUAUGAGGUUUCCAGCUGAUCUUGUGCUCUCAAACCACACCAAGGAACUUCAUUUCAUAUACUCUUUCUAUGUUUAUGUUAUCUAGUAUUAAUUGCACCUGAGGAUUUGUUUUAUGUUUUCCAAAUAGCAUAAUAUUUGUUUUGCUUAAAUUUAAUGUUAAUUUGUUCUUAAAUCUUUUUUUUUUUUCUUGUGUAUUUCAUAAACAGGAUAUUUGAUUUUUUUAUAAUAAAUAUUAUUUUCUCAGCUCUGUGAUAAAAAAACAGAUUUUAAAAAUAAAUAUCCCACUUCUUGUACUUAUAUCCUGAUUGAUGAGUCAGCAGUAAAGCAGCCAGGCGUUAACGGUCAGCUGGCAUGUGUAUCUGUUCAUUGGCUCAUAUGUGUAGCAUGUUUAAUGGCAGUGUGUUGAAAAUGGCUGACAGGUGAAUAUGUCAGAUCUCUGUGUGUUACUCAGAGAACCGUGUGCAGUGUUUUAGAAAGUGCAGAGUUGAAUUGCAGAUUGUGUGCAGAGCUGAAAAUGUGUUUAGAGUUCUGUUUGAUUUGAUCCAGCCAGUUCUGCCACAGCAAAGCAUAAGGGCUCAGAGCUUGGACCUAUUGUGUUCACAUUAUAUACGCUUCCUUUAGGCAAUAAGGAAUCACUCGGGACAUUUUCAUUGUUAUGCGGAUGAUACUCAAUUAUACACAAUAUAGACAAAAGUAUUGGACCACCUACACAUUAGAGAGAUACCGCAGGUCCUUCCUUCCUGCAGCGGUCAGACUAUAUAACCACCACGACCCCUAGUAGACCCCCCACACAACAACACAGACUAUAACACCUAUUAUCAUUUCUUUUUUUAAUCUUUAAUACUUUGUUGUAUGCAUGCUUUAGGUAACAUGAAGCUGUCUCUGGCUCUUUCUGCUGUAACAAUGUACAUGUAUCCUCUGUGGGACUAAUAAAGGGAUUCUGAUUCUGAUUAAAUAAACUCAACAUGUACACGUAUACUGGUUGUUUUUUCAGUUUAGUUUUUAUAGCGCAUGGUGGAAAGGAGCAGGGAGAAGUACAUCUCAUUUUACCUGCCCCUUCUUAAAAAAGAAAAAAAUUAAAUAACCAUAAAAAAGUAAAAUAAAAGCAUUAUUAUGUCACAGUUACAAAUACUGAAACAUAAAACCAUCACAAGUCCACUUCAUACUGUCUAGUUACGCUUUCUUUAUACAUUUUCUUAAUUGUCAUGCUGGAUUUUCUUGUUCUCCCGUGCAGGUGAGGGCGGCCUGCAAAGCCUUCUGGGUAAUAUGAGCCACAACCAGCUGAUGCAGCUCAUCGGACCGACUGGACUGGGCGGGAUCGGGGGCCUCGGGGCCCUCGCUGGCCCAGGAUUGGCUAACCUGCUGGGCAGCAGCAGCUCCAGCAGUGUCCCUGCAGCCAGCAACUCCUCCACCAGCCCGUCCACAGCCGUCACCCCCACCUCCUCCUCAGCCUCCAGCCGCCUCGGCUCCGCCCAGGUUCCCACC